CUACAUUUACCAGCUUCAGACGACAUCUUGUUCUGCUCAGCCUCAUGUGGAGAGUACACUACCACCACAACCAUGUGGGCCUACAUCAUAGCCGCGGCUCGGGGCCGCUCUCGAAAAUCCGUCCACGAGCGUAAAUCUACCAACACUUCCAACGACUUUCCUUUGACGUACAAAGAAAAAUUCCUUCGAUCCGGCUGGAUACGAAACAGCGCCUGUUUGCCAGAACGAGACUAACAGCUUUCUCAACUGAGCUACGGAACGAAUCAGCAGACCACGCGAAUUUCUUCAUGUGCU